UACGUAGGGUGCAAGCGUUAAUCGGAAUUACUGGGCGUAAAGCGUGCGCAGGCGGUGAUGUAAGACAGGUGUGAAAUCCCCGGGCUUAACCUGGGAACUGCAUUUGUGACUGCAUCGCUGGAGUGCGGCAGAGGGGGAUGGAAUUCCACGUGUAGCAGUGAAAUGCGUAGAGAUGUGGAGGAACACCGAUGGCGAAGGCAGCCCCCUGGGUCAAAACUGACGCUGAGGCACGAAAGCGUGGGGAGCAAACAGG
rnacentral:rRNA from 1 species